UACGUAGGGGGCGAGCGUUGUCCGGAUUUAUUGGGCGUAAAGAGCUCGUAGGCGGUUUGGUAAGUCGGGUGUGAAAUCUCCACGCUCAACGUGGAGGGGCCACUCGAUACUGCCAUGACUCGAGUCCGGUAGAGGAGUGUGGAAUUCCCGGUGUAGCGGUGAAAUGCGCAGAUAUCGUGAGGAACACCAGAGGCGAAGGCGGUUACCUGGACAGUUACUGACGCUCAGGCACGAAAGCAUGGGGAGCAAAAGGG
rnacentral:rRNA from 1 species